rfam:Schistosoma rodhaini strain Burundi genome assembly, scaffold: SROB_scaffold0008768
AUCCAGCUGACGAGUCUCAAAUGGGACAAAACGCGAGUCCUGAAU